CGCCACNCUCUCGCAUGAAGCUAAAAACCAAGGCUUGGCGGUUCUUUACACCCCUCUAGAGGAGCCUGUUCUAUAACCGAUACUCCCCGUUUAACCUCACCCCUCCUUACCCCGUAGCCCAUAUACCACCGUCUUCAGUUUACCCAGUGAUGGACCAACAGUAAUCACAAUCGGCAUAGCCCAGAACGUCAGGUCGAGGUGUGGCUCAUGGAGGGGGAAGAAAUGGGCUACAUUCACUAGCAUAGUGCAUACGAAUGACGCAUUGAAACCCAUGCGUACUGAAGGAGGAUUUAGUAGUAAGUGGUAACUAGAGUGUACCACUGAAUCGGGCUCUGAAGAACGCACACAUCGCCCCGUCACUCUCAA
rnacentral:rRNA from 1 species